rnacentral:lncRNA from 1 species
ACUUCUUAUCUUAUUAGAAGGAAAAUAAGUUGAAGAGAAUACUAAAAUAGGGAUAAUUGCCUAUAUACUCCUCAUACGUUUGAAAAUAUCCGAUUUAUUCCUUUUUUUUUUUCUUUCUAAAAUACUCCUCAUAUGUUCCACCGUUAUUGCAAAAUACCCUCGCAGUUAUCUCCUGUUAAGUUAACUUGGGUUAAACGUAAGUUAAAUAUCUAUCACAGUUAAAAAAAAUUAAAAUACCAAAUUUGCCCUUAACUUAAGGGCAAAUAAGAAAUGUUGGUGACUGUAGAGAGUUAUAUUGGAAAAGACCAAAAGUCAAAAUACUUUUUAUAUCCUUGACUUUAAGGGCAAAUAAGAAAAUCAGUGAUGGUGGAAGGAUAUAUUUGAAAGGGCAAAAUAAUAAUUUUACAGAGUUAACAAUGUUAAUUAACAGAUUUUAACUCUAGGGGUAUAUGAGAAAUAGGUUGAAACGUAAAGAGGGUAUUUUCAAUUUUAGCCUUUUAACGAAAAGUUAACGGAAGGAUCGACGAAAAGAGAAAAAUAAAACUACAUGAUACUAAAUUGAUAUACUUUAAACUACAUAAUAUUGAAAUGAAAAACUGCGAAAUUACAGGGGUGAUAUUUGAAGUUUAUCCUUUUUUUUAAUCAAACCAUAAUAAGAAAUUCAGUUUCUAAAAAUCCCACUCUUUAUCCUUUACUCUUAGUUAAGCAAACAUGCUCUUAAUAAAAUAAUUACUUAUAAUUACAUAUAAA